CUCUACGGGGGAUGUUGAACAGCUCGCGCUCCCACAAAGCUUUGCAGGAGACCAUACAAUGAAAUUUGGUGCGUUUUUUUACUUUUCGGCGCCAUUUUCGAUUGGACCCGAGGUAAUGCAGAUCAUCGGGAUUUUUCUCUUUCAAAGCCAGCAUGAGAGCAGCAGAUCUGAAGGGAAUGUACUAUAGCAGCACAUAAAUACUGGAGGUGAUUGUGGUGUUAUCCAGUAUUGCUGUUCUGCUGUAGUAAGACCUGUCAGCACUUACAGACUCCAAAGAGCCACAGCAGAUCCCUGUCCAAGAGCAAACCCAUGCAUGUGCGAUGGAGGAAGAAAAAAAACAGUACCUGUCUGUGCUGUAGAUGAACACUGCUUUUUUCAAUCAUUGUGCACCUAUUUCUUCAUGUUACAACUGAAAAGAGCAUAUGCAUGUCUUUUUUCAACACGUGCUGCUUUCUAAUAAACUUGUGAUUGUAAAUAUGAA